rnacentral:rRNA from 1 species
CACGUGGGUGACGUGCCUGGAUGUGGGGAACAACUGCCCGAAAGGGUGGCUAAUACCGCAUACGUCCUGCGCUUCGGUGCGCAGGGCAAAGCUCUCUUGAAGGGAGCGCGUCCAGAUCGGCCCGCGCCCGAUUAGCUAGCUGGUGAGGUAACGGCUCACCAGGGCGACGAUGGGUAGCUGGUCUCAGAGGAUGAUCAGCCAGACUGGGACUGAGACACGGCCCAGACUCCUACGGGAGGCAGCAGUUAGGAAUUUUGGGCAAUGGGCGCAAGCCUGACCCAGCAACGCCGCGUGCGGGAC